CCAGCGAAGGGAACGGAGCGGCAUACGGCUCAGUAGGACAGAGGAAUCUAGCCAACACACGCAGAAUAACCACGGUAAGCUGUGGCUAAUGUAUUGGGUGAGACUCUGGCCUAUCAGCUAGUUGGUACGGUAAGGGCGUACCAAGGCCGUAACGGGUCACGGGGAAUCGGGGUUUGAUUCCGGAGAGGAAGCCUGAGAAAUGGCUGCCACGUCCAAGGAAGGCAGCAGGCGCGAAAAUUACCCACUUGGAGGACCAGAGGUAGUUAUGGGGCGUGACGAUGAGCGGAGAGCAAAGACCUUUGCGAAUGCGACUGGAGGGCAAGUCUGGUGCCAGCAGCCGCGGUAAUUCCAGCUCCAGGAGCUUCUGUGUGAGUUGCUGCGGUUAAAAGGUGCGUAGUUUGGCUGGCAUGUUAGUCACUGAUAGAGCAUGACUGAUACAUAAGCCUGGGGACCGGAGCGAGGCAACGUUAUUUUCGAGCGAGGGGUGAAAACCGAUGACCUUGAGAGGAGCGACUGAGGCGAAGGCGGUUGUCUGGGACGGAUCUGACGAUCAAGCACGUGAGCAGGAGGAUCAAAGACGAUUAGAGACCGUCGUAGUUCCUGCAGUAAACGAUGCCGACCGGGCUGCAGGAGCUGUGGCCCAAGGGAAACCGAGUGUACGGGCUCCGGGGAUAGUACGGGCGCAAGCUUGAAACUUGAAGAAAUUGACGGAAGGACACCACAAGGAGUGGAGUGUGCGGGUUAAUUUGACUCAACGCGGGGCAACUUACCGGGGCAGGCCGUGCAGUGCGAAGGCAGCGUGGCGAAGCGCUGACUGAUUGUGCGGCGCGUGGUGCAUGGCCGUUCUUAACACGUGGGGUGACCUGUCUGGUUAAAUCCGAUAACGCGUGAGACACUGGUGGGCAACUAGACUGAGCAUGGCAAGUGCUAGGAAGCGCGGGUCGAAAACAGGUCUGUGAUGCCCGUAGAUGUCCCGGGCGCCACGCGCACUACAAUGUGCUAUAUUGACUGAAGCUAUUAUAGCACGUGGUUGGGAUCGACGCUUGUAAGUGCGUCGUGAACGAGGAAUUCCUAGUAGCGGGCAGUCAUCAACUGCAGGCGAAUGAGUCCCUGUUCUUUGUACACACCGCCCGUCGUUAUCUAAGAUGGAAGUGCGGAUGAAGACGGCACGGCCGGA
rnacentral:rRNA from 1 species